rnacentral:rRNA from 1 species
UACGUAGGGGGCUAGCGUUGUCCGGAAUCAUUGGGCGUAAAGAGCGUGUAGGCGGUCCGGUAAGUCCGCUGUGAAAGUCGGGGGCUCAACCCUCGAAUGCCGGUGGAUACUGUCGGGCUAGAGUACGGAAGAGGCGAGUGGAAUUCCUGGUGUAGCGGUGAAAUGCGCAGAUAUCAGGAGGAACACCAAUUGCGAAGGCAGCUCGCUGGGACGUUACUGACGCUGAGACGCGAAAGCGUGGGGAGCAAACGGG